GGGUUGAUAGCUCAACGGUAGAGCAGCGUCCUUUUAAGUCGUUGGUUCAGGGUUCGAAUCCCUGUCAACCCACCA
rnacentral:tRNA from 3 species